rnacentral:rRNA from 1 species
CGAACGGUCGGGUAGGUAGUAGUACGUUGGAUUAAUUCGAUGCAAACGCGAAAACCUUACUACCCUUGACAUGUCCGGAAUCCCGAAGAGAUUUGGGAGUGCUCGCAAGAGAACCGGACACAGGUGCUGCAUGGCUGUCGUCAGCUCGUGUCGUGAGAUGUUGGGUUAAGUCCCGCAACGAGCGCAACCCUUGUCAUUAGUUGCCAUCAUUUGGUUGGGCACUCUAAUGAGACUGCCGGUGACAAACCGGAGGAAGUGGGGAUGACGUCAAGUCCUCAUGGCCCUUAUGGGUAGGGCUUCACACGUCAUACAAUGGUCGGUACAGAGGGUUGCCAACCCGCGAGGGGGAGCUAAUCCCACAAAGCCGAUCGUAGUCCGGAUCGCAGUCUGCAACUCGACUGCGUGAAGUCGGAAUCGCUAGUAAUCGUGGAUCAGCAUGUCGCGGUGAAUACGUUCCCGGGUCUU